UCCACAUCUUGAGAGAAUAAAAGUUGACAUUCAAGACUAAAUGAAAUACUAUCAGUUGUUUGAUCGUUUUCACAGAUUUUCAUUUUCUUUAAACUGGUGUCAUUUGGAAAUCUCCCUGGUCCCUAAAUGUCCUCAAAUUUAACCAAUCUCAACUAGAUUGUUGAUGAUUCAUUGAUCAUUCUGUCGAUUUAUGACAUUCUAGCGAGCAAGUGCUUAUUUAGAGUUCUAGACGAGCAUUAAGUAAUGACAGAAGAGAAGCUGCACAUAUCUAAUUAUAGACAAGUUGGCUAAUAAAUAGCCUUCCAAAUGUCAGAAAUUAUAAGCAGAAAAAUAUGUACAUGAGGCUUAAAAAGUCCCCCCCCCCAACAUGACUGGUUGUGUUUAUGCCACAUUAAAAGGUAGGCUAAUACAUUUGAAAAGUUAAACGACACAUCUUUACUAUUAGGUCGAUGAUGAUCCUAAUAAAAGUAUAUCGAUUCUAUAAUGGAAUUCUAUGAUUAGACCCAUCAUUUUUUUCACUCGUGCAAACAUACGAGGUCCCCAUACUUUGAAGAAAUAAAAUCUACUUUCACCCCUGAAUAACACUAUUAGCUACAGUAUCUAAUACAUAACACUAUUAGCUACAGUAUCGAAUACAUAACACUAUAAGAAAUAACAGUUUUAUGACAACCUAGUUUAGUCCUUAAAGGGACAUUUCACCGCUGCUCUAUUUCACUAUAUAUGUCCAUUAAUAUGUUAACUUAUCCUGUGUCAUAAAACAUAUUUGAAAAAUCCUCACUACACGCAAAUACGAGCGUUUCUGCAUCUCACCGGUAGAAACGGGCCAGUUACAUUUCGUGGUUGUAAGCGAACGACAAUAUCCAGAUUUCAUAGUGAUUUCAGGAUGUAGGUGCCGCUCUGUGGAGGUGUAUCCAGUUGAUGUGAGAAAUAUACAAAUGCCUGUGUUUGUAACCAGCACUUUCAGCCAGAGUGUUUCAAAAUGGAACUGAAGUCUCAACUGAUGAUUUUUUCCAUGUCGUCGACUGUUGAAAAGUGAUGCUAUUCCAUCAAUUUCCUACUUCACUUCGAAGAGGAAGGGAUCCGAUCAGCCAACAUCAACGCUGCAUCAAGCCGAGAGUCCGAAUCCAACAACAUCUGCAGUGGCAUCAACAUCAAGCUCAGCACCAGGAACUAGUAGCCUAAUCCUGCUGCUGAUAAUUAAUCCUGCCGACCAUGACCAUGACACCAGCUUUAGUAGUACAGAGCCUUUAGACCCAUUGGAUGACAACUUUUAAGCCUGGAAUAAGCUCAAGGCCAACAUCAUCUGACUUUGAACCAAGCCACGACAGGCAGGGGAGACUUGCAGUACAUAGAAAUCAUCUGCGAGGUCGAAGCAGUGGGUGGUGGAGAACAUCACCACAGCGCUAAAGCCUGCUAAACCAGCUGCCAUUACCCAACACAAGAAGACGUUCAGCACACGAACAUUCUGGAACCUGCAACCAACGAAUCAUCCAUAUACAGUUAGACUGAUGCUGUAGUAUAAUAUAGAAUGCCUAGUAUGCUCAAUUGCAUUGUGGUAUAGUUAUUGCUAGCUGUUGAACAUAUGUAUAUAAUGGUGUUUUAAACAUUUUUUAUAUAUAUAUUUUUUUUAUACAAGUGUACUGACAAGUGACUUAAAUGAUUCCAGCUGCAUCAGAAACCAAUAGUGCUGACUUUAAAUUGUGAUAUUCAUGAAAUGUACUUUGGUAAACUAGCUUCAAUCUUACUGCUAAAACAAAUGAUGAAGGUCGUUGGUGUAUCAUUUAAACUUUAAUUUGUUGGCAAGUAAACAUGUUAAAAUAAAACAGAUUUGUCUUCAAGACAACGUUUAUUUGCUCUGGAGACCGAGGUGAGUUUACAUGCAGGAAGUUAUGGCAAUGUAUGACAUACUGUAUAUACAGUAGAACAAUAUAUACUAAUGCUUAUAAUAAAUACUAGUUCUACAAUGGGAAUACUUGCAUACAUUUACAUGCAGGAAGUUAUGGCAAUGUAUGACAUACUGUAUAUGCAGUAGAACAAUAUAUAUAAUGCUUAUAAUAAAUACUAGUUCUACAAUGGGAAUACUUGCAUACAGUGGCUUCAAAGUAUUUACACCCUUGACUUUCCACAUUUUGUUGUGUUACAGCCUGAAUUGAAAAUGUAUUACAUUUAUAUAUUUUUUUGUCACUCACCUUACACACAAUAUCGCAUUGUGGAAUUAUGUUUUUCAAGAUUUAAAAAAAUGUCUAAAAAAGCUGAAAUGUCUUAAGAAUUCAAACACGUUAUGGCAAGCCUAAAUAAGAUGCACUAUGUAGAAAUCGCUCUGCCAUUUUCUGGAUGCUAAAAUUCUAAGACCAAUUUCAGUUUGGGACAAACCAAGCAAGUGUAGUGCAGAGAAUCAUUGUACCAUCUAAACCAUUGAAAUAUCUGUUUUGAAGCUGAUGUACAAAACCAAAAAACGCAAAAUGAAACUUAAGAACGGGAAGCAUCUUAGAUUUUCUUUCAAUGAGAAUGACAGAUCUAUAACUCACAUUUCUAAUUGAAUUUGGUUGGGUCGCCCAAAAAGUUAAGGUUUGCAACUUUAACAAUUCACAUAUUAAGUUGCAUGGACUCACUGUUUGCAGUAAUUGUGUUUAACAAUUGUUUAAUUAAUACCUCAUCUCUGUACGCCACACGUACAAUUAUCUGUAAGUCCCUCAGUCGAGCAGUGCAUUUCAAACAGAUUCAACCAACAACAAAAAAGGGCACCUAUUGGUAAUGUGUAUAUUUAAAAAAAAAAAAAAAAAAGCUUUAAAAAAACAGACAUUGAAUAUC